rnacentral:rRNA from 1 species
AUUGAACGCUGGCGGAAUGCUUUACACAUGCAAGUCGAACGGUAGAGGGGGCAACCCCUUGAGAGUGGCGAACGGGUGAGUAAUAUAUCGGAACGUGCCCAGUCGUGGGGAUAACGUAGCGAAAGUUACGCUAAUACCGCAUACGAUCUAAGGAUGAAAGCGGGGGACUCGCAAGAGCCUCGCGCGAUUGGAGCGGCCGAUAUCAGAUUAGGUAGUUGGUGGGGUAAAGGCUCACCAAGCCAACGAUCUGUAGCUGGUCUGAGAGGACGACCAGCCACACUGGAACUGAGACACGGUCCAGACUCCUACGGGAGGCAGCAGUGGGGAAUUUUGGACAAUGGACGCAAGUCUGAUCCAGCCAUUCCGCGUGCAGGAUGAAGGCCCUCGGGUUGUAAACUGCUUUUGUACGGAACGAAACGGUGAGCUCUAAUACAGUUUGCUAAUGACGGUACCGUAAGAAUAAGCACCGGCUAACUACGUGCCAGCAGCCGCGGUAAAGUG